UACGUAGGGUCCAAGCGUUGUUCGGAAUCACUGGGCGUAAAGCGCACGUAGGCGGAUUUUUAAGUCAGGGGUGAAAUCCCGGGGCUCAACCUCGGAACUGCCUUUGAUACUGGAGAUCUUGAGUCCGGAAGAGGUAAGUGGAACUGCGAGUGUAGAGGUGAAAUUCGUAGAUAUUCGCAAGAACACCAGUGGCGAAGGCGGCUUACUGGUCCGGAACUGACGCUGAGGUGCGAAAGCGUGGGGAGCAAACAGG
rnacentral:rRNA from 1 species